ACAAGAUUCAUAUCCUGUUAAGGGACUUUAAAAAUCAGAUCAUCACUCAGAAAGCCUAGCAGUCAAGUCAGAGUUGUCAGAGCAAAAUGGAACAAUCAAAACCCCAGAGCGAAGCUUUGUAAUUUUGUAGCAGGACAAGCCGCAGACAAAUCCCCUCAGACACGGAGUUAAAGAAGGAAGGGCUUCAUUUGGCCGGGAGCUUCCGCAAAACUCACGUCUCCAAAAACCGAGCUCCGCAAGUGAGCAAUUCCUGUCCCUUUUAAGGGCUUAGAACUCUAAGGGGGUCCACGCGAGAGGGUUGUGAUUGAUUGAGCAAGCAGUGGGUAUGUGACUGGGGGCUGCAUGCACCGGUAAUCAGAACGGAAUGGAACAGAACAGGACAGGGAUUUUCACAGUGCUUUUCCAUACAAUGUCUGGAGUCUAUAGAUAACAUAACCGAUUAGGUCAGGGGUCGAUCUUUAACCAGGCCCAGGGCUCGGCGCCGGGCUGUCUGCCUGUGGAUUCCAUUUCUGCCUUUUAGUUUUUACUUCUUCUUUCUUUGGAGGCAGAAAUUGGGCAUAAGACAAUAUGAGGGGUGGUUUCCUCCCUUAAUUUAGUUCACUGAACAAACUGGAAAAAGUGAGCCCGUUUCAACAGAUACGAUGAAUUUGUUAAGUUUGUAUUACUCUCACCUUUAACAAUAAAAAUCUUCAGCUUUUUACUAAAAAUGUAUGGAGAGAAUAUUCUAGAUUCUAUCACACGUUAGGACUGACAGAUGAGAGAUCUACAGCACCACACGGUUAUUAAAAUGAUGAAUGUGAGUAGAAAGCCACCAUUACCCUAAACACAGCACAAUGGUGGCAGUUUUCCUCUUGCUUAGGCAUUUGGUAGAUGGAGAAAAUGAAAAGCUGGGUCAAAGUGUACAUUUUUUUUUCUGUCAACAUACAUGCUUUUUAUUGUGGCAAAGAAUAUUAUACAUGGCAUAAAAUUUACCACUUUAACCACUUUUGAGUGUACAAUUCAAUGCAUUAAAUAUUCAUAUAUUUUUUUGAAACUUUUAUUUUAGGUUCAGGGGUACAUGUGCAGGUUUUUUAUAUAGGUAAACUCAUGUAAUGGGAAUUGUUGUAGAGAUUAUUUGGACACCCUGGUACUAAGCCUAAUACCCAAAUUUUUAAAAAUUCUCUCCCUCCUCCCACUCUCCACCCUCAAGUAGGCUCCAGUGUCUGUUGUUCCCCUCUUUGUGUCCAUGUGAUCUCAUCAUCCCACUUAUAAGUGAGAACGUGCGGUAUUUGGUCUUCUGUUCCUGUGGUAUAGUUUGCUACAGAUAAUGGCCUCCAAAAGACAUGAUCUCAUUCUUUUUUAUGGCUGCAUAGCAUUUGACGGUGUGUAUGUACCACAUUUUCUUUAUCCAAUCUGUCACUGGUGGGCGUUUAGGUUGAUUCCAUGCCUUUGCUAUUGUGAACAGUGCUGCAUUGAACAUUUGUGUGCAUGUGUCUUUGUGGUAGAAUGAUUUAUAGUCCUUUGGGUAUAUACCUAGUAAUGGAAUUGCUGGGUUGAAUGGUAGUUCUGUUUUUGGCAAUUUGAGGAAUUGCCACAUUGCUUUCCACAAUGGCUGAACUAAUUUACACCCCCACCAACAGAGUGUAAGUGUUCCCUUUUCUCUGUAACCUUGCAAGCAUCUGUUAUUUUUCGACAUUUUAUUAAUAGCCAUUCUGACUGGUGUCAUAUGGUAUCUCAUUGUGGUUUUGAUUUGCAUUUCUUUAAUGAUCAGUGACAUGGUUUUAAUUUGGGUUCCCACCCAAAUCUCAUGUUCAACUGUAAUCCCCCAUGUUGGAGAUACGGCCUGGUGGGAGAUGACUGGAUCAUGGGGGUGGAUCCUUCAUCAACGGUUUGGCACCAUCCCCUUGGUGCUGUUCUUCUAAUGGUGAGUGAGUUCUCGUGAGAUCUGGUUGUUUAAAAGUGUGUUGCACUAUCUCUCUCUUUCUCUUGCUCCUACUCUGGCCAUGUGAUGUGCUCACUCCCCCGUACCUUCCACCAUGAUUAUAAGUUUCCUGAGGCCUCCCCAGAAACUGAGCAGAUGCCAGUAUCGUGUUUCCUGCACAACCUUCAGAACCAUGAGCCAAUUCAAACUCUUUUCUUUACAAAUUACUCAGUCUCAGAUAUUUCUUUAUAGCUAUGCAAGAAUGGACUAAUACAAUCUGUGAUAUUGAGAUUUUUUUCAUAUGCUUGUUGGCUGAAUGUAUUUUUUCUUUUGAAAAGUGGCUGUUCAUGUCCUUUGCUCACUUUUUAAUGGUUUUUUUUUUUCUUGUAAAUCUGUUUAAGUACCUUAUAGAUGCUGGAUAUUAGACCUUUGUCAGUUGCAUCAUUUGCAAAUAUUUUCUCCCAUUCUGUAGGUUGUCUGUUUACUCUCUUGAUAGUUUCUUUCACCGUGCAGAAGCUCUUAAGUUUAAUUAGAUCCCAUUUGCCAACUUUUGCUUUUGUUGUGAUUGCUUUUGGUGUCUUGAUCAUGAAAUCUUUACCUGCUCCUAUGUCCAGGAAGGUAUUGCCUAGGUUGUCUUCCAGGGCUUUUAUAGCUUUGGGUUUUACAUUUAAGCCUUUAAUUCAUCUUGAGUUGAUCUCUGUAUAUAAUGUAAGGGAUCCAGUUUUAAUUUUCUGCAUUUGGCUAGCCUGUUAUCCAAUCACCAUUUAUUAAAUAGGGAGUCCUUUCCCCAUCACUUGUUUUUGUCAGUUUUGUCAAAGGUCAGAUGGUUGUAGGUCUGUGGCCUUAUUUCUGGGCUUUCUAUUCUGUUCCAUUGGUCUGUAUGUCUGUUAUUGUGCCCGUGCCAUGCUGUCUUGGUUAUGUUAGCCCUGUAGUAUAGUCUGAAGUUGGCUAGUGUGAUGCCUCCAGCUUUGUUCUUUUUAUUUAGGAUUGCCUUGACUAUCCACGCUCUUUUUUGGUUCCAUAUGAUUUUAAAGUAGUUUUUUCCUAGUUCUGUGAAGUAUGUCAUUGGUAGUUUCAUAGCAAUAGCAUUGAAUCUGUAAAUAGCUUUUGGCAGUAUGGCUAUUUUAAUGAUAUUGAUUAUUUCUAUCCAUGAGCAUGGGAUGUUUUCCAUUUGUUUGUGUCAUCUCUGAUUUCUCUGAGCAGUGUUUUGUAAGUCUCAUUGUAGAGAUCUUUCACCUCCCUAGUUAGCUGUAUUUCUAGGUAUUUUAUUCUUUUUGUGGCAAUUGUGAAUGGAUUGCAUUUCUGAUUUGGCUCUCAACUUGGCUGUUGUUGGUAUAUAGGAAUGCUAGUGAUUUUUGUACAUUGAUUUUUGUACCCUGAAACUCUGCUGAAGUUGUUUAUCAGUUGAAGGAGAUUUGGGGCUGAAAUUGUGGGGUUUCCUAGAUAUAGAAUCAUGUGAUCUGCAAAUAGGAAUUGUUUAAUAGGAGUGGUAAGAGAGGGCAUCCUUGUCUUGUGCUGGUUUUUAAGGGAAAUGCUUCCAGCUUUUCCCCAUUCAGUAUGAUGUUGGCUGUGGGUUUGUCAUAGAUAGGCUUUUAUUAUUUUGAGGUGUGUUCCUUCAAUCCCUAGUUUAUUGAGAAUUUUUAACAUGAAGGAUGUUGAUUUUUAUCAAAAGCCUUUUCUGCAUCUAUUGAGAUUAUCAUGUGGUUUUUGUCAUUAGUUCUGUUUAUGUGCUCAAUCACAUAUCUUGAUUUGCACAUGUUGAACCAACCUUGCAUCCCAGGAUGAGGCCUUGUUUGAUCACAGUGGAUUAGCUUUUUAUGUGCUGCUGGAUUCAGUUUGCAAGUAUUUUGUUGAGGAUUUUUGCAUCAAUCUUCAUCAAGCGUACUGGACUGAAGUAUUCCUUUUUUGUUGUGUCUCUGCCAGGUUUUGGUAUCAGGAUGAUGCUGGUCUCAUAGAAUGAGUUGAAGAGGAGUCCUCAAUUUUUUGGAAUAGUUUCAGUAGGAAUGGUACCAGCUUUUCUUUGUACAUCUGGUAGAAUUUGGCUGUGAAUCCAUCUGGUCCUGGGCUUUCUUGUUUGGUAGGCUAUUUAUUACUGAUUCAAUUUCAGAGCUCAUUAUUGGUCUGUUCAGGGAAUCAAUUUCUUCCUGUUUCAGUCUUGGGAUGGUGUAUGCGUCCAGGAAUUUAUCCAUCUCUUCUAGAUUUUCUAGUUUGUGUGCACAGAGGUGUUCAUCAUAGUUUCUGAUGGUUAUUUUUAAUUAUUUGGGGUCAGUGGUAAUAUCCCCUUUGUCGUUUCUAAUGGUGUUUAUUUGGAUCACCUCUCUUUUCUUCUUCAUUAGUCUAAUUAGUGGCCUAUCUUAUUAAUUUUUUCAAAAAACCAACUCCUGUAUUUAUUCUCUUUUGAGUGGUUUUUCAUGUCUCAAUUUCCUUUAGUUCAGCUCUGAUUUUGGUUAUUUCUUGCCUUCUGUUGGCUUUGAGGUGGUUUGCUUUUGCUUCUCUAAUUCUUUCAGUUGUGAUGUUAGGUUGUUAAUUUGAGAUCUUUCUAACUUUUUAAUGUGGGUGUUUAGUGCUAUAAAUUUCCCACUUAACACUGACUUAGCUUUAUCCCAGAGAUUCUGGUAUGUUGUAUUUUUGUUCUCAUUAGUUUCAAAGAACUUCUUGAUUUCUGCCUUUAUUUUAUUAUUUUUGCAAAAGUCAUUCAGGACUAGGUUGUUUAAUUUCCAUGUAAUUUCAUGGUUUUGAGAGAUUUUUUUUUUAGUAUUGACUUCUAUUUUUAUUGCACUGUGGUCUAAGAGUGUGUUUAGUAUGAUUUCAGUCUUUUCGCAUUUGCUGAGGAUUGUUUUAUGUCUGAUUGUGUGGUUGAUUUUAGAGUAUGUGUGCUAUGUGGUGAUGAGAAGAAUGUAUAUUCUGUUGUUUUUGAGUGGAGAGUUCUGUAGAGGGCUAUCACAUCCAUUAGGUACAAUGUUGAGUUCAGGUCCUGAAUAUCUUUGUUAAUUUUCUGCCUCAGUGAUCUGUCUAAUAUUGUCAAUGGAGUGUUGAAGUUUCCCACUAUUAUUGUGUGAGAGGCUAAGUCUCUUUGAAGUGAGAGGCUAAGUCUAAGUCUAAGUCUACACUGUGAGAGGCUAAGUCUCUAAGAACUUGCUUUAUAAAUCUGAGUGCUCCUGUGUUGGGUAAAUAUGUAUUUAGGAUACUUAGAUCUUCUUGUUAAAUUGAACCUUUUACCAUUAUGUAAUGCCCUUCUUUGUCUUUUUUGAUCCUUGUUGGUUUAAAGUCUGUUUUGUCUGAAAUUAGAGUUGCAACCCCUGCUUUUUUUCUGAUUUCCAUUUGCUUGGUAUAUUUUCCUCAAUCCCUUUAUUUUGAGCCUAUGGAUGUCACUGCAUGUGAGAUGGGUCUCUAGAAGAUAGCAUAUCAUUGAGCCUUACUUUUUUAUCCAGACUGUCUCUCUGUGCCUUUUAAAUGGGGGCAUUUUGCUCAUUUACAUUCAGUGUUAGUAUUGAUAUGUGUGGAUUUGAUCCUGUCAUUGUGUUGUUAACUGGUUGUUAUGCUGGCUUGUUUGUGUGGUUGCUUUAUAGUGUCACUGGUCUGUGUACUUAAGUGUGUUUUUGCAUUGGCUGGUAAUGGGCUUUCCUUUCCAUAUUUAGUACUCCUUUCAAGAUUUCUUGUAAGGCAGGUCUGGUGGUAAUGAAGUUGCUCAGCAUUUGUUUAUCUGAAAAGGAUCUUAUUUCUUCUUUUGUGAGGAAGCUUAGUUUGAUUGGAUAUAAAGUUCUUGGUUGAAGAUUUCUUUUCUUUAAGAAUGUUGAGGCUGGGCGCUGUGGCUCACGCCUGUAAUCCCAGCACUUUGGGAGGCCGAGGCAGGCGGAUCAUGAGGUCAGGAGUUCGAGACCAGCUUGACCAACGUGGUGAAACCCCGUCUCUACUAAAAAUACAAAAAAAAAUUAGUCGGGCGUGGUGGCACGCGCCUGUAAUCCCAGCUACUCAGGAGGUUGAGGCAGAAGAAUCGCUUCAACCCCGGAGGUGGAGGUUGCAGUGAGCCGAGAUCGUGCCACUGCACUCUAGCCUGGGUGACAAAGCAAGACUCUGUCUCAAAAAAAAAAAAAAAAAAGGAAUGUUGAAUAUAGGUCCACCAAUCUCUUCUGGCUUAUAGGGUGUCUGCUGAGAGGUCCACUGUUAGCCUGAUGGGGUUCCCUUUGUAGGUGACCUGCCCUUUCUCUCUAGCUGCCUUUAACAUUCUUUCUUUCAUCUUAACCUUGGAAAAUCUGAUGAUUUUGUGUCUUGGGGAUGAUCUUCUUGUGUAGAAUCUUACAAUGGUUCUCUGUAUUUCCUGAAUUUGGCUGUUGGGCUCUCUGGCAAGGUUGAGGAAGUUUUCAUGGACGAUAUUCUGAAAUAUGAUUUCUAAGUUGUUUGCUUUCUCCCCGUUCCUUUCAGGGAUUCCAGUGAUUUGUAGAUUUGGCUUCUUUUCAUAAUCCUAUAUUCCUUAGAGGUUUUGUUCAUUCCUUUUAAUUAUUUUUUUCUUUAUUUUUGUCUGACUGUCUUAUUUCAGAGAUCCAGUCUUCAACUUGUGAGAUUCUUUCCUCAGCUUGGCAAAGUGUACAUUUUCACAUAUUUAUCUAACCUAUGGAAUUCUUGUGAGCAUUUUUAUAUUGCAACACAAGUUCUUGAAACAAAAUAGGUCAUUAUUCUAUGUAUUCAGCUUAACUUAAAUAUAAGGAUUUAUAACUGUAAACUAAUCACUCUAUCUGAACAAUUUUAAAACCAUAUAAUUUUGAGCUGUAAUUUAAGAAAACAUGCGUGCUUGCAGUCCUGUCUUCUAAACAAAUACAGGUUCCCUCCCUUAAGUCCUGUCGUGUUUGAGUCUAAAGCCGUAGAUAAAGGUUACUGUCAUCAUUCCUGUGGUAGAGGGUUGAGCUGAUAUUUUUGUGCUCCAGGUCACAGCUCUGUUCACAGCUACUAAAUUUCGCAAGUUGAAAGUAUGUUAAGUGUAGGAGUUUCUGGAUAUUAAAUAUGAUCCAACAUCCUCUGUGAAAAUAGAGUAUGAUAGAUGGAUAAUCAGGAGAUCUAAAUAGAUAGAUGAUAGAUCCAUAGAUAGAUGAUUAAUGGAUGGAUAUAUGGAUGGAUGAAAAGAUAGACAGAUAGAUAGAUAGACAGACAGACAGAUGGAUAAGCUAGGACUAACUGUAGGAGGAGAACCAGGUAUACUUGCAUUUCUGUGAAAGUGACUUGUUUGUUUAUUUUCUCCUGAGAGAUCUUCUAAUUCAUGCACCUGAUCAAGUAUCUCCCUUCUGCUACUGGAAAGCACAGAACCAUAUCUAAUCUCACUUCUAUCAAGUGUAAGCUCAUAGGCUUCAUUUUGGGUGCUGAUUUCACUCCUGGAUGACAUUAUUUUAUUAUUUGUUCACAUCUUAUAUGUGAUUUUUCAUUUUAUUUAGCCUGGUGUUUAUGUUUGUAAACUGUAAUUUUAAAAAAGGGAGAGGUAUUGGGAGGAGAAAGCAGAAAUGCUGGAAAAUGAAGGGAGGCCACCACCAGUCAGACACAGGACUUCUUCAGGCCCCCGUCCUUCUUUCCCAAGGCGUCUGUUUUCUAAAUGAGGAAACCAAGGCACGCAGAGGAUGACGAGCUGCCCAAGGGCAUGCAGCCUAAGAAAUCUUGAAUCUGGAUUUCGCCCAGGCUGGCUGACACUUACAGUCACGAUCAGGUUGUGGUCACCAUGGCUUCGUCUCUCCCCAGACAUCAGGGUCAUCUCAGGACCCCACUCAGGCAGCUGCCUCAUUCUCAGUAUCAUCUCCUGCCAUUACCUUUGUACCUGUUGGCUGUGGUGAGACAUGCUGGGCCCACUCACCGUUUCUGGACUUCCUUACCUUCGUUCAGUCACUUCCUCUCUGCAAAUGCUCUUCCUUUGACAAACUUUUUCAUCCUCCAAACCCCAGCUGAAGAACUGCCUUCUCAAGUCUUCUCUGGGACUUGGUAGGUUUUCUUGUCUUUGCUGAGUCAGUGAAUGGGAGGAUAGAUGUUUUCAACAGGAGGCUGCCUGCUGUGUGCUGGGAACAGCCUCUCCCAGGCUGCAAAGCUCUAAAGAUGCACUGAAGGCAAAGUGCUCAGCUCCCAGGGCACCUGGGAAGCCGGGGUGUGGUGUCCCUUGGGGUGUAUGAGAAGCUGCAUUCACAUGUCAGGAGACCUUUCACUGUCAGCAACUAGCAGGUCCCGGGUGUUGAAGUUUGCAAGGAGACAGGGUCCAGUGGACUUGUAUUUCCCUGUGUCUCAGAGGCAUUUGCUCCCUGUUUGGCCGGCAUAGCAGGGGCCCACCCUGGAAUGGCUGCAGGAGCUGGCUCUUGUGCUGCAACUUCAUCUGCUCUGCUGCUUCAGCCGUAUGCCAUUUUUCAUGGCAAAAAAGUCCCAUUUCCCCUCUAGCUACAGAACUGCUGGGCUUAGGGGUAGAUCCCCCGGUUGUGAUAAUUCUCUGCCCCAGAGGCCUGAACAGGCACAGGCUUCCCCAUCCUUUCUGCUGCUCAGUUUCUGCUGAAGAUGAGCUCAGACCCUCCCCUCCAAUGCCGCCGAGGGCUGAACAGAAUCUCCUCAGCUCUCCUAGAUAGUAAAGUUCAGGUCUCACUUGCUAGAAAGCAGGGGAGGUGGGUGGGAGGCACAGGUGGGACCCCCCUACUCUGCACAAUACAGCACUAAGCACAGACCCCGCUGACCACUGGAGCUGGCGGCAGUGUUUGCCAUUGGAGGAAUAAUGGUAGACGGCAGGCUGGGUGAGAAAUGGAUAUGCAGUUGUCAACUCUGCAGAGCACAUGCACUGAAACAGUCUUAAUAGGACAUCGGAAUAGUUAUGGAGAUCCAUGAAGAUAGGAUGGCAGCUACUCUGCAGAUGAAGUAUAACUGAUUAAAUAUCAAGGAAAAAUAAGAUUCAUGAUUUACAGCCUGAAAAACAAUAUAUUUGGUGAAAAGAAAAUCUAUAAACCUAUAAGCCAAAUAAUUUGUUUCACAUGAUUAUGGAUAUCUUGUCUGUGUCUUUUCCCAAGGAUAUUUCAUUUUUUCGUAAAGAAUUGGAGAGAAAAACUAUUUUAACAAUAUGUUUAUCAUAAAAGUAAUCACUAUUCCUUUAAGGAAGACUGGAAGAAUAGAGUAUAAAAGAUAAAUUAAGGGCCAGGCGCAGUGGCUCAUACCUGGGAGGCCGAGACGGGCGGAUCACCUGAGGUUGGUAGUUCAAGACCAGCCUGACCAACAUGGAGAAACCCCAUCUCUACUAAAAAAUACAAAAUUAGCUGGGUGUAGUGGCAUUUGCCUGUAAUCCCAGCUAUUCAGGAGGCUGAGGCAGGAGAAUCACUUGAACCCCGGAGGUGGAGGUUGCAGUGAGCUGAGAUUGCAUCACUGCUCUCCAGCCUGGGUGACAGAGUGAGACUCUGUCUCAAAAAAAAAAAAAAAAAAGAAAGAAAAGACAAAUUAAAAACCAGCCCAAACUCUACAAUGUAUUGUUGACUCCAGGUGUGAUUUUGAUGUCUCUCCUUCUACUCUUCAUUCUAUGUUUCUAACAAAGUGUAACAAUGUAGCUAAUAUUUUGCUUUUUUUCUUAAGUUUAUAUUCUCAAUAUUGAUAUUCUCUUCUGUUUUUAAGCAAAAUUAUAAUUGUAUGCGAAACAAAAUUAAAAUACUAUUAUAUUGAAAUAAUUUGUAAAUUUUGUGCUUUUCUCCACAUAACAUUAACAUAUAUAUUCAUUUCCAUGUCAUCGAAUUGGCUGUAACCCAUCACUUCCAUCAUUAAUAUUUGGUGUAAAAUCUUCAAGUGUCUGUCCAUACAUGGAUGUACCAGUUGACUCUUGAACAUCACAGGGGUUAGGGGUGCUGAUCCUGUGCAGUUGAACAUUUGAGUAUAACUUUUGACCCCCCAAAAAGCCUAAUUACUAAUAGUCUGUUGCUAACUAGAAUUCUUACCAAUAACAUACAAGGUCAAUUAACACAUAUUUUGUAUGUUUUAUAUAUUAUACAGUGUAUUCUUAAAGUAAGCUAGAGAAAAGAAAAUGUGAUUAAGACAAUCAUAAGGAAGAGAAAAUACACUUACAAUUUAUUAAGUGGAAGUGGAUCAUCCUAAAGGUCUUCAUUCUCAUCGUCUGCAUGUAGAGUAGGCUGGGGAGGAGGAGAUGGAGGAGGGGUAGUUCUUGCUUUCUCAGGGGUGGCAGAGACAGAAGAAAAUCCAUGCAUGAACCUACCUGCACAGUUCAAACCCAUGUUGUUCAAGGGUCAGCUGCACAGGGAAAUGCAUUGCUAUUUUACUUAAUGUUGGAGGGGAACUGUUUCCUCAACUGACUCCCCAUCAGCACAAUUCCUGUAACGUUUGCAUGAAAUCCCAUUACUGGGACUUCUUCCAGUUUUUCGCUGUUUUAACAGUGAGGUGGUGACCAGUUUCGUCUCCAUGACUGACUACCUUUAGAAUAAUUUUCUAGAAGCCUUUCAGCUGGGCCAGAGGACAUGUGGCCAUAUUGCUCUCUAAAAGGCUUAAACCAAAUUGCCUUCUCCCAGUUAGAGAAUAGUGAAGUCCACUUCUCUGUUUUGCCAACCAAAAGAUUCAUUCAUCUUUUUUCAUUUUUUACCUAGUAUUUUAGAAAUGAUUAUCUUAAUUGCUUUAAAUUUCAAUUCUUUGAUAAAUGAAACAUUUUUCAUGUGUUUAUUUUCCCUUGUAUUUUACCUUUGUCAUCAAGUAGUUUGCCUUUUAAAGAAUUUGUAUAUAUGUAUCUUUGCC
rnacentral:lncRNA from 10 species